rnacentral:rRNA from 1 species
ACAGGCUUAACACAUGCAAGUCGAGGGGCAGCAUGGUCUUAGCUUGCUAAGGCCGAUGGCGACCGGCGCACGGGUGAGUAACACGUAUCCAACCUGCCGUCUACUCUUGGACAGCCUUCUGAAAGGAAGAUUAAUACAAGAUGGCAUCAUGAGUCCGCAUGUUCACAUGAUUAAAGGUAUUCCGGUAGACGAUGGGGAUGCGUUCCAUUAGAUAGUAGGCGGGGUAACGGCCCACCUAGUCUUCGAUGGAUAGGGGUUCUGAGAGGAAGGUCCCCCACAUUGGAACUGAGACACGGUCCAAACUCCUACGGGAGGCAGCAGUGAGGAAUAUUGGUCAAUGGGCGCAGGCCUGAACCAGCCAAGUAGCGUGAAGGAUGACUGCCCUAUGGGUUGUAAACUUCUUUUAUAAAGGAAUAAAGUCGGGUAUGGAUACCCGUUUGCAUGUACUUUAUGAAUAAGGAUCGGCUAACUCCGUGCCAGCAGCCGCGGUAAUACGGAGGAUCCGAGCGUUAUCCGGAUUUAUUGGGUUUAAAGGGAGCGUAGAUGGAUGUUUAAGUCAGUUGUGAAAGUUUGCGGCUCAACCGUAAAAUUGCAGUUGAUACUGGAUAUCUUGAGUGCAGUUGAGGCAGGCGGAAUUCGUGGUGUAGCGGUGAAAUGCUUAGAUAUCACGAAGAACUCCGAUUGCGAAGGCAGCC